UGCGUGAUGUCUCCGAGGCCUGCAGAGAAUACAAGAAGCGUCACAGAAAGCGGCUCGGGAGAGGCAUAGCACAUAAGUUCAUAACCGUUACUUUGGAAAAGCAGAGCAGAAAAACCACCUCCCAACCUUUCAAAAGCAAGGAGGGAGUUUUAGGAAAGCAAUUCCAUGUCAAAGUUUGCUCAAAUACCUCCUGAUGAUCUCGGUUUGGGCACUCAGCGUUUGGCUGUUUUGGCUUAUUUUCAUUCCCCUUUGUGGUGUUAAUAUUUUACAGUCACCUAGCACUUUCUAACCAGAAGAAUUCCCCAGAGUGCUCUGCAGAUCAGAAGUGCUUCUUCCAGCACUGAAAAGCAGGUCCUUCUGGGAUGGAAUGCAGCAGCUGUUUAACAGCACACAUGACAAUUUUGGGCAGAAAGUGCAGCAGAGUAGGGAUCCAAUCAAAACGGGAGGGGAAAUUGUGUUGGGCAAAAUGUAAUUUCUCAUGCUGGAAUCUGGUCAGCGAGCAUGUGGGACUGGGUCCUGAUAAGCAUGUGUCAAAGUCUCAUCUGAAAUAUGACACCUCCAGUGGCACAACCUCCCUUGGCAUCAAGCUGGAGCACAGCACCCGUUGCUGACUCAGAAAAGAGCGCCAUUUGUUGCUGAAUCACCAAGUUGCCAGUACACCAGUAUCAAACUACAGGAAUUCAUGCAAAGGAGCAAAGGGUGUAUAAUGGUAUGUACUAGGAGCUCAUUUCCUCUCGAUGUAAUGUAUACUCCAGCUGACUAUAAAUUUGACCAGGAGCCUUCAGAGACCAGCUGGAAACAUUUGCAAUUGACAAAGUUCCCACUGGAAUGGACGCAGGAAACCGCUGUGACAACAUCAAACUGACCUAUUGCAUCUCCAGCACCAGGCUCUAUCUUGAGCUGGGCAGGCGGUGGGUGUGCCGGGCUGCUGUUGUUCUUCACAGCGUCGGUGCUCGUUACGGAGGUAGUUUCUUUCCGAGAAACUUUAGAUGAUGGAGGUUCCUCCACGGUGAU